UACGGGGGGAGCAAGCGUUGUUCGGAUUUACUGGGCGUAAAGGGCGCGUAGGCGGUUUGUCGCGUCUGCUGUGAAAUCCCGAGGCUCAACCUCGGGUCUGCAGUGGGUACGGGCAGACUGGAGUGCGGUAGGGGUGAAUGGAAUUCCUGGUGUAGCGGUGGAAUGCGCAGAUAUCAGGAGGAACACCGAUGGCGAAGGCAGUUCUCUGGGCCGUAACUGACGCUGAGGAGCGAAAGCGUGGGGAGCAAACAGG
rnacentral:rRNA from 1 species